rnacentral:RNase_P_RNA from 1 species
GGAGUCGGCCAGACAGUCGCGUCAUCCGGAACCACUUCGGUGGGACCGGGUGCCGAGGAAAGUCCGGGCUCCACAGGGCACGGUGCCAGGUAACGCCUGGGCGGCGCGAGCCGACGGAAAGUGCAACAGAAAGAUACCGCCGAUGGCCGGACGCCCUUCGGGGCGAAUGGAUCAGGCAAGGGUGAAAUGGUGCGGUAAGAGCGCACCGCGAGUCUGGCAACAGACCGGCACGGCAAACCCCACCGGGAGCAAGACCAAAUAGGGACCUCAUGGCGCGGCCCGCGUCGGGUCCGGGUAGGUUGCUUGAGCGUAUCGGUGACGAUGCGCCUAGAGGAAUGACUGUCCACGACAGAACCCGGCUUAUCGGCCGGCUCCGCCA